GAAGUACUUCUUCUGUUCCGAAUUAUUCGUUGCACGUAUGGAUUUAUCUAGAUGUAUUUUAGUUUUAGAUGCAUCCAUUUCAACGACGAGUAAUUUGGAACGGAGGGAGUAGGCA
rnacentral:pre_miRNA from 1 species